UACGUAGGGUGCAAGCGUUGUCCGGAAUUAUUGGGCGUAAAGAGCUCGUAGGUGGCCUGUCGCGUCGGCUGUGAAAACUCGGGGCUCAACUCCGAGCUUGCAGUCGAUACGGGCAGGCUAGAGUUCGGCAGGGGGAGACUGGAAUUCCUGGUGUAGCGGUGGAAUGCGCAGAUAUCAGGAGGAACACCGGUGGCGAAGGCGGGUCUCUGGGCAGUAACUGACGCUCAGGCACGAAAGCGUGGGGAGCAAACAGG
rnacentral:rRNA from 1 species